GUUUUUCAUCAGUUGGCUUUCUGAUACCAAGUCUUGUUCUGAAUAACACAUCAGAAACAUCAUGGAUUUGUUGAUCAUUUUUUUCUGAUGCCAAAUCCGUGUUCUCUUCACCAAAAUACAGAAAGUCUGUCAGUCCACCUUGAAACCAAGCAGAUGCUGAAGGUUCUUGUUCCUCCUUAUCAUUUGGCUCUUCGUUUUCAACAGUUACCACUAUUUUUCUGCCUCUGUAUGUAUUUUCUGCUAAAGAUUCAGUCAUGGCUUUUAAUGGCUCUUCAUCACUUUUACUUCCUGUGGUGAACCAUCCUGCAAUCCAACUGGACUGAGCCGGAGUGGGUUCCAUUGGGAGACUAUUUUGCAUUUGUAACUCUUCAGUGUCAUCUCUGCUGUUCUGAUCUUCUCUGAGCAUCUUUUGGCUUGCAGACUCCUCAUGAGUGUGAGCUUCCUUGGAAUCACUUUCAGAAACCAAUUCAACUCUUUCAUCUUCUUGCAUGGAGUCCCUUGUAUAUUUUAAGACUUCAUUUUCAUGCACCUUUGAUUCUGUAUCAUGUGAUGAAUGUUCACUUUCUUUGUUGUGAUCAUGUAAUGUGCUAUCUUCAUUUUCAAAAGUGUACUUUUCUCCAUGAAGACAAAGGAAAUCAGCUUCCUAAAAGAACAGUAUUAACUCUUAAAAUGCUUUCGUGUGUAAUUUUCUACAGCACUGUGUAGCACAGAAAAACAUCUUUAUUCUUUCUGUGUAGUUAUGUGUGUGCAUAACUUUAGACAAAGGACUGUAAGUAAAGACAAUAUUGCUAAUGGUUCUGUGUCAUUUAUCAGAUAAAAAUUAUUUUAGAGGACAACAAGCAUGCAGUUGGAGAAAUGAUGAAAAAAAAAGCAUGUUUUGAAUAAUCUGAAAUAAAAUUUGCGUUGAAACUUGAA